UACAGAGGGUGCAAGCGUUGUUCGGAAUUAUUGGGCGUAAAGGGCGCGUAGGCGGUGCGGUAAGUCACCUGUGAAACCUCUGGGCUUAACUCAGAGCCUGCAGGCGAAACUGCCGUGCUUGAGUGUGGGAGAGGUGCGUGGAAUUCCCGGUGUCGCGGUGAAAUGCGUAGAUAUCGGGAGGAACACCUGUGGCGAAAGCGGCGCACUGGACCACAACUGACGCUGAGACACGAAAGCGUGGGUAGCAAACAGG
rnacentral:rRNA from 1 species